rnacentral:rRNA from 1 species
AUGAUUCACUUAAGCUGGAACUGCCGGGGAGGGGGGAAUACCCGGACAGUUCGUGAACUUGCAACGUUAUGUCAGUCACAUUCCCCCACUAUGGUCUUUCUGUGUGAAAUGAGGCAAAAACCAGAAAAGAUGAGGAGGAUUCGGGGCCGUUUAGGCCUCAAAGGCUUCUGUGGUGUAGAUAGUGAUGGAAUGAGUGGUGGUCUAGCCCUGUUCUGGCAUGAAUCCUAUGAUGUUGAGAUCAUGGAGAAAAAUGAGCGAUAUGUUGACGCCCGUGUGCGAGUUAAUCAGGACGCCAAGCAAUGGAGGGUCACCUGUGUAUAUGGGGAGCCAAGAGUUGAUAAUAGACAUAUCAUGUGGACAAAAUUACAGAAUCUGAAAAAUGUAAGUCAUUUGCCAUGGUUAGUGAUUGGAGAUUUCAAUGAGGCGCUUUGGGACUUUGAACAUAUGUCAGCAACUCCAAGGGCUGAAGCUCAAAUGAUAGCUUUUCAAGAUGCAUUGGAAAUCUGUGGCUUGGUGGAUCUUGGUUUCGUAGGUGUGCCUUUCACCUGUGACAACAAACGUAGUGGUGCAAGUAAUGUGUGUGUUCGCCUUGAUAGAGCUGUAGCUACCAACGCCCUGGAGGAACAUGUUUGCAUUAUCUUCAGUUUUACAUGUCCCAUCACCAUGUUCUGA